rnacentral:tRNA from 1 species
AAUAUGGCAGAAUAAUAUGCAAUGAACUUAAAAUUCAUUAAUAAAGAAUAAUCUUUUUUUAGAAAUC